ensembl:rRNA 5S_rRNA 5S ribosomal RNA
GUCUACGGCCAUACCACCCUGAACGCACCUGAUCUCGUCUGAACGUCUGAAACGUACACCAGGUCUGCCAUGUGCACAGCAUGGAUCCAAUCCAAUAUGGGAUGUGGGCA